ACCAAUUCUGCUCAUAUAUAAGUUUUUUUAUUUUUUAAUCAUUUAUUGUUCUUUAUAUGCUAUCUUUGCCCUGACUCCGGUACCCUGAUAUGAGUGAAGAUCCCCAGAUUAGUCGACAUGAUCCUCGAUUGAAACUGAUGCACAAAAGCCUAAAACGAAUUCAAAGGACCAUUGGAGAGCACAGGAAGAUGGACUGAUGCCAAAAGUUGUCUAAAACGAACCAGCCUUCAGCUGGUCAUGACAUGCCACAUCAGAGGUCUGAACCAACAGGAAGUCGUCGUUCGUUGCAAAUGCAUGCCAUGGAAAGAUCUAGGUUUAAAGCUUCUAGGGGAUUCUCACCAAUGAAAAAUUUUGGUGAGUUGCGGCAAGUACCAUCAUUAAGGGUAGCUGAUGCCUCAAAAGCUGGAUGGUUUUUGAGCAAUAAUGCUACUUCUAGGCCUAUAAGCUCUACACCCUUGACAAUAUAAGGUCCUCAAAAUUCCAAGCCGGUUACACUGCUUGCACCCUCAACGAGCUUUGGGCAGAAAAGUUCUCACAUCGUAUGAUUUUGUAAGCUGCACCACUUCAAGCUUAUUUUCAGAGGAGCUGGUUUAUAGUUGUGAUUUCGUCCACUUAGAUGGUAGAGGAACCUCUCACUGUUGCUGGCCUGUUGCAAUCACUUGGUUUAGGGAAAUACAACGUUCAUUUCAGAGCUGAGGAGGUGGACAUGACUGCAUUGAGGCAGAUGGGUGAUACGGAGCUCAAAGAGAUGAGGAUCCCAAUGGGACCAAGGAAUAAGAAUCUUCUUGCUCUCUUGCCCUAAUCCAGACAUGAGACAACCACCACAACUGCAAUGUUAAGGCCUCAUUUAUUUAUACAGAUGAGAUGAGAUAAAAGUUAAAAGUUAAAUAAAAUAUUAUUAUAAUAUUAUUUUUAUUUUGAAAUUUGAAAAAGUUAAAUUAUUUAUUAUAUUUUGUGUGAGAAUUUAAAAAAGUUAUGAUCAUAUGAAAUGAGAUUAGAUAAUUUGAAUCCUAUAACCAAAAUAGGCCAAUGGCUGCAUUUGGAGGUACUUGUCUUUUCUGUAUUAUUAAAAAAUGUGAGUGAAUAUUAGCAAGCUUACCGAGUGUAUGUGAUGUUAUAAUUUAUUGACAUUGCAUGGAAGCAUGAAAAUAUUUAUUAUAAGGGUUUGUUUUGCA